AAAUUGAAGAGUUUGAUCAUGGCUCAGAUUGAACGCUGGCGGCAGGCCUAACACAUGCAAGUCGAACGGUAACAGGAAGCAGCUUGCUGCUUUGCUGACGAGUGGCGGACGGGUGAGUAAUGUCUGGGAAACUGCCUGAUGGAGGGGGAUAACUACUGGAAACGGUGGCUAAUACCGCAUAAUGUCGCAAGACCAAAGAG
rnacentral:rRNA from 1 species